CAGCCGUAAACUAUGCGCGUUAGGUGUAUCGGUGACCACGAGUCACCGAGGUGCCGAAGGGAAACCGUGAAACGUGCCGCCUGGGAAGUACGGUCGCAAGGCUGAAACUUAAAGAAAUUGGCGGGGGAGCACAACAACGGGUGGAGCCUGCGGUUUAAUUGGACUCAACGCCGGACAACUCACCGGGAACGACAGCAAUAUGUAGGCCAGGCUGAAGACCUUGCCUGAAUCGCUGAGAGGAGGUGCAUGGCGUAGACGUCU
rnacentral:rRNA from 1 species